rnacentral:lncRNA from 1 species
GUCACCAUUGCUAGAUAGUUACAUCGAUUGAUAUGAAAAGUUAUUCUUAUGCUACUGGUUUAAGUUUGAACUUAUGGGGUCACACAUAUUAGAAGAUUUGAUCAGAUUUGAUGGCUGGAGAGUCCAAUUGGAUUAUGACUCUAGUGACGAGUCCCAUUGAGACUGGAACUCUGGAGGAGAAUUCCACUGGGACUAAGACUCUAUUAUUAUAGAAAAUUAAUCAGU